rnacentral:lncRNA from 1 species
AGGAUAGGUUCCAGUCCACAGCAGUCCUGCAAUGGAUGGAUGGACAGUUAUACAUGCAUCCCAUCCAGACUGCCACGAUCCUCACUUGGAUGAGCCGUUGUUUGCGAAGCAAGGCAAGGGAUCACAAGCUGCAAGUCGAAAAGCCCAUCGCCGUGCCUCUUACCUGCCCUGACAGACGCACCCGACAUCUGUUGAUGUCCUCGGGCAUUCCAGCGAUCGUCAUUCCCUGACAAAUGGCGCCAUUAGUAUGCAG